GUAAAGAGAGAUUCUGGGAUUCCUCUGUUUCUUGGAAGUGAAGAGGUUUUAUGAUGAUCUUAACAUUGGGAUAUUUAUUCUCCUUCUCCCUGAUCCCUAUGUGUGUGCAGACAUUCUCACAACUAGAUUAGUGAUACCAUCGAUAUGUGUCUCUCAUGCUGGUGCCGUUCUUCAGCCAAAGAGCCUGCAUGGAUCUGUCUGUUUACAGACAGAUGAACAAUAGAUGGGAUGUAAGAGAAAAACACUCCAGAAGCUGUGCUGCAGUGGGAGACCCAAAGAUAAACUACAGGUGGUGGAAGAGUUUUAAAUGUCUUGUCUCGUAGUGCAACAUGAAGUACGUUGGGUCCCUUUAAAUUCUUGGUUUAUUCUUUUUUCCCCUAAGAGUAUACAUCAGACUGAUUCCUCAGCAGUCUUUUUUUGAAUUAGAUCAUGUGGAUCUCUUAGUUGAUAAUAUAUUGAAAUGAGAAAGCUCAUUUGUGAGAAAUGUUGAAAAUAACUGUAAAAAUGUUGUCCAUCCUGGUUUGCUUUACCUGUUUGAGACAAAUCCAGUCUCUUUGUACACAGAGGUAUGUAAACUGUCUCACUCUGUGUGCAUCUAACUUGUUUUGUAAUCCAUGGCAGUGGGAUAGUGUGACAAUCAACAUCCAGCUUACAUAAUUUCAUUAUAAGAAAUCAACUCUGUCCUUGAGAUGUAGUUUCCAUACUAGUAUAUCUCAGAACAGUCACUGGUUUGGCAUUUGUUGGUGGGCUGUAUUAGAUAUUUUUUUUUUCUUUCUUUCUGAAGACAAUCUGUGUUUGCCUUCUGUUGCCAACACGCUUCUGAUGAGGUAGUGGCAUAAUGCUUACAAAUGUUAAAACAAAGUGGAAAACAAGUUAAGCAUGUAGAGUUGAACUUUUAAUUCACUGUCCUAAGUGACUGAAAGGAAGAUUUCAAGGCUGAGUUUUAUUCUUGGAUUUUUUUACACUGACUUCAGGUAUCAGACUUCAUUGCUGUGUACCUGUAGGAAAUCUAGGUGCUGUUGUAAAGGGUAGCCUGUGCUUCAAAAAGCUUUUACCAUCUUGCAGAUGACACAGCCAGAAGCAUCCUUAGAGAGAUGAGUAAGGCAGAAUGAGACAGUUCCCUGAAUUAAUUAUCUUGUUUACUUCCCUCACUUAACAUCUUUUGUUAGGCAGAAACCCACCCGCCCCCAACCUUCUUGUUAGAAGAGAAUGUUGUAAACAUCAAAUGUGAACAUGAGGAAACUGUUGUGAAGCAGCAACAUCUGAGGGUGAAUAAAAGAGCCCAGUUCCUGCUGACUUUUCUCCAUGACAUGCUUUGAUCAGAGGAAGUUUUCUGCCAGAAGAUGUUGCUUGAGCAAGUGAGAUUGUCUUAAAAAAACUUUGAGUUUGGGCGUGGGAAGGAGAUGGCUGGAAACAGUUGUGAAAGUUUCACCAUCCUGGU